rnacentral:ribozyme from 1 species
GAUUCCAUUGGUACCUGUAUUCAUACUGUACGCUUCGCGUCCCUCUCUCAUGGCCUUGGCACAGCUUGCG